GACGUAGGAUGCGAGCGUUGUCCGGAUUCAUUGGGCGUAAAGAGUUCGUAGGCGGUUUGUUAAGUCUGAUGUUAAAUAUUGGGGCCUAACCUCGAGAGUGCAUUGGAUACUGGCAGACUGGAGUGCAGUAGAGGCAAGUGGAAUUCCCAGUGUAGCGGUGAAAUGCGUAGAUAUUGGGAAGAACACCGGUGGCGCAGGCGACUUGCUGGGCUGUAACUGACGCUGAGGAACGAAAGCUAGGGGAGCAAAUGGGAUUAGAUACCCCAGUAGUCCUAGCUGUAAACGAUGGAUACUAGGCGUUGCAGGUAUCGACCCCUGCAGUGCCGCAGUUAACGCGAUAAGUAUCCCGCCUGAGUAGUACGGCCGCAAGGUUG
rnacentral:rRNA from 1 species